rnacentral:rRNA from 1 species
UACGAGGGGGGCGAGCGUUGUUCGGAAUUAUUGGGCGUAAAGGGUGCGUAGGCGGUUUUGUAAGUCUGAUGUGAAAUCUAUGGGCUCAACUCAUAGCCUGCAUCGGAAACUGCAGGGCUCGAGUGUGGGAGAGGUGAGUGGAAUUCCUGGUGUAGCGGCGAAAUGCGUAGAUAUCAGGAGGAACACCUGUGGCGAAAGCGGCUCACUGGACCACAACUGACGCUGAAGCACGAAAGCUAGGGGAGCAAACAGG